rnacentral:rRNA from 1 species
UGAGGAAUAUUGCUCAAUGGGGGAAACCCUGAUGCAGCCACGCCGCGUGCGUGAAGAAGGAUUUCUGGAUGGUAAGCUGUUUUUAUGUGGAGAUAAAUGACGCUACCUGAAUUUUAUUGCCCGGCUCACUUGAUGCCAGACCCCGCGGUUCCGUGCCAGGGGCCGCGUUAUCCGGAUUUACUGGGCGUUAUCCGGAUUUAUACGGCUCUGCGGUCUGAAGUGAAAGGCAUCGGCUUAGCCGCGAAACUGCUUUGCUCACUGCCUGGCUUGAGUAUCGAACUGGCUCGCUUGAUUCCUAGUGUAGCGGCAAAUGCCUACAUGUAACGAAGAACUGCUUAGAUAUGAGCAACAUGCUGGAUUGCAACUGACGUUUAGGCUCGCACGCCUGACGCUCAAACUCGAUUGUAUACCCUGCAAACCCGAUCAGAUACCCAGGAAUACCACGUGUUGGUGCACGAAUGCCCUCUGUGCCUUCACUUUCGAAUUAACNAUUCCACCUGAGCAUUACGUACCCCACCUGGAGACUCCNCCGACUACACUG